UUCGGUGUUAGAGCGUUCUUAUCGGCGCUUUUUCUAAUUUUCAACGUUCCGCAUAUCCGCGUCGAUUCGUUCGCCGAUUUUUAUCAGCCGGUUCGACUGGUUCCUCCGAGCACCGCGACCGCCGCCUUGACCGAAAAUCGCACCGCCUCGUCCGUCGCCGAGGACUUUCUGAAUUUUGGCGUAAAAAAGCAGCAGAUCGCGCCUCAACCGAGUUACACGAAUAUACUGAAAAGCAAGGUCGACAUUCUCUCGAAACUGCUGAAGAUCCACGUCGAUCAUCUUCGCGAUCAGACGGACCAGGUGGAGCUCGUCUUUCUCGUGGACGCCUCGGCGUCCGUCGGGUUGGAAAAUUUCCGGAGCGAAUUGAACUUCGUCCGCAAAUUGCUGUCGGAUUUCACCGUGGCUCCCGCGGCGACGCGGGUGGCCGUGGUCACCUUUUCCGGAAAAACCAGCAUCAUCAGACACGUGGACCAAAUAUCGAACGCCGAGGAAAACAACCACAAGUGCCGACUGCUCAAUCGGCAAUUGACGAACGUCACCUACAGCGGGGGAGGGACGUACACCCGAGGCGCUCUCCUCGAAGCACUCGAUAUUCUGGAGAGGAGUCGUUCGGGGGCUAAAAAGGCCGUUUUUCUCGUCACGGACGGAUUCAGCAACGGCGGGGAUCCCAGACCUAUAGCGACUCUGUUGAAAAAAGCAGGCGCGAUAAUAUUCACCUUCGGUAUACGGACGGGUAACAUCGAAGAACUUCACGACAUAGCGAGCGAGCCGGGAUACACGUACAGCUAUCUUUUGGACAGUUUUCCCGAAUUCGAAGCUCUGGCGCGAAGAGCUUUGCACCACGAUUUAAAAUCCGGGGACUACGUGACCGUGAGUUCAGCUGAGGACUGCGAUUUUCUUUGCACCGGAAACGCGACGAAGUACAACGAAACUCGGUGCUGCGACUCGAAAGCCUCUUGCGCCUGUGGUAUAGUAACCGGUCAUUACACCUGCUUGUGCGAGCCAGGAUAUUUUGGAACUGGACUAUCGGGCUACUGUCAAGCCUGUCCCAACGGAACUUUCGGGCGUGGUAAUAUCCCUGGAGAUUCGAACGCCGCUUGCACGACUUGCCCGGAUCCGAAUCACGUGACGUUGAAAAUUCCGGCAACCGGUGCGGACGACUGCGUAUGCGCCACGGGAUUUACCACCAGGGGCAACAAAUGCGAUG
rnacentral:misc_RNA from 1 species